AACGCACCUUGCGCUCCCGGCAGAUCUAAUCUGGGGAGCAUGCCUGUUUGAGGGCCGCGAAUUGUUUCGAACGACAGCUUUUUUCACGAAGAGUUGGCGGAUCGGUUUUGAGGGUCUUUUUUUUUUGCCAUUUACCGUGGCUCCCUCAAAAAGCAUUAGCGCAUCCAUUUGAUAGGCAAGACGGACGAAAGCUCAUCUUUCGCUCUCUCUUCCCUGCCGGGUUUUGAUAAUAUCAGGACUUCGGAGAGGUUGAGAUGGGUACGAGCUGGACGCAACGGCUUGCUGUUUGGAGUGCUUCUGAAACCCGCCCAUGCCGAGCUUUCGGAAGGGAUUUUCAUAAUUCAUCGGCCUCAGAUUGGUAGGACUACCCGCUGAACUUAA
rnacentral:misc_RNA from 1 species